AGCCAGUGGCCUGCCUGAAGCUUCAGAGGAGCAUCAUCUGCAGGAAAAGAUGAAGCCUAAAUCUGUCCUGGAUGUGCAUCUGCCACAGAUUGGCCUUUUUGUUGGUCUUGAGACCCUAAAUGAAGGCUGGGGGGGCAGCGGUGUUGGGUAUCAGAGACAAAUCGACACAACAGCUCCAGUGCAGAGCUGUGGACGAGGAGAGAGUGAGGAGGACCUGCCUAAAGGGAAGCAGUCAAAGGAAGUGCACUUUGCCUUCUUACCCAAAAACUAUGUGCCUUUGGAAGAGAACGAGAGUAAACAGAGAGCGAAGGAAGAGAAGAAGGCCAAGAAGAAGGAGAAGUACAAGAAAUACAAAAAGACACUGCAGUUGUAGAUUUUUUUAUGCCUAUACUCAGACGAAGGAACGUGGGGAAAGCUCUGCGCUACAGCUGGAAGUGUCUGAUGUUUGGGCUCCAGAGCUUCACUGUGGGCUACUCCACCCCUGUCACCGCGGCCGCCGCAUACGUCCCAGAAUUCAGAACAGGACGCGCCAAGAGCUGAGGAGAUCAGAGCUCUAUUCUCUUACAGUCCCCACGGGCUGACCUGCUGUGAACGUCUCUGAUGGAGAACAUCAGAUUCCUGUGUUUCAGACUGUGCCUUUACAGCCCUGGACUGGGUGGCACGUGUUCCUGCUCUGGAGAGCCUGGCUCAUGUUCUCACACUGUUAUCUGUACAUAUUGAUAAUGC
rnacentral:lncRNA from 1 species